rnacentral:lncRNA from 1 species
CAGGCCCCGCCCCUGAGCGCCGCAGUCUAGACCCCGCGCCUCGCUCCUCUGAUUCUCAGACGCCUGAGGACUCGCUGUGGUCGUGUCCGGAGGCCCUCAGCUGAGACGGCGCCAGCACCUUCAAUGGAGUCCUGUGUGUGGUGCACCCUGGCAUGUGACAAGAUGCCCACUGUUCUUACCCACUGCUGGAAUUGGGCUUUAUUAAAUGUCUGAAGAAUAAGCUACAUGUUGCUGGUGGUUGACUACAGAGAGGGGAUGGCUACAGAACAGGGGAGGAUGGAAGCUUAUUCUCCAACCUUUACAUGGGAAGGAUGCCCACAGUUCAUGGAGAAUGUCUGUUUUCAUCUCCUGUGAUCCCCAUUGUAACCCUAUGCGGGGUGCAGAACAGGGGACAUAGCACACCUCUUGCAGUUGAAGGCAAUUAAAUUUAGAGAGG